UCCUACGGGAGGCAGCAGCAAGGAAUAUUGGGCAAUGGGCGAAAGCCUGACCCAGCGACGCCGCGUGGAGGAAGAAGGCCCUCGGGUCGUAAACUCCUUUUCUCAGGGAAGAAUAAUGACGGUACCUGAGGAAUAAGCCCCGGCUAACUACGUGCCAGCAGCCGCGGUAAUACGUAGGGGGCGAGCGUUAUCCGGAUUUACUGGGCGUAAAGAGGGCGUAGGCGGCUCUUCAAGUCGGAUGUGAAAUCUCCCGGCUUAACUGGGAGGGGCCAUUCGAUACUGUUGGGCUUGAGUACAGCAGAGGGAGGUGGAAUUCCCGGUGUAGUGGUGAAAUGCGUAGAUAUCGGGAGGAACACCAGUGGCGAAGGCGGCCUCCUGGGCUGCAACUGACGCUGAGGCCCGAAGGCGUGGGGAGCAAACAGGAUUAGAUACCCCAGUAGUCCAAGCCG
rnacentral:rRNA from 1 species